rnacentral:RNase_P_RNA from 1 species
AGUCGGCCAAGCAAUCGCGGGCAAUAACUUCGGUUCAUUGUUCGAGGAAAGUCCGGGCUCCAUAGGGCAGGGUGCCAGGUAACGCCUGGGAGGCGCGAGCCUACGGCAAGUGCAGCAGAGAGUAGACCGCCUAAGUUUAUUUAUCUUCACCGAUAGAUAAACCGGUAAGGGUGAAAGGGUGCGGUAAGAGCGCACCGCGCUACUGGUAACAGUUAGUGGCAAGGUAAACCCCACCCGGAGCAAGGCCAAAUAGGAAUCCAUUGGUGCGGCCCGCACUGGAUUCGGGUAGGCCGCUUGAGGGCUGUGGCGACGCAGACCCCAGAUGAAUGAUUGCUCACGACAGAACCCGGCUUACAGGCCGGCUCU